rnacentral:rRNA from 1 species
GACGAACGCUGGCGGCGUGCUUAACACAUGCAAGUCGAACGGUGAAGCUCCAGCUUGCUGGAGUGGAUCAGUGGCGAACGGGUGAGUAACACGUGAGCAACCUGCCCCUGACUCUGGAAUAAGCGCUGGAAACGGCGUCUAAUACUGGAUACGAGAAGGGUCCGCAUGGGCACUUUCUGGAAAGUUUUUCGGUUUGGGAUGGGCUCGCGGCCUAUCAGCUUGUUGGUGAGGUAAUGGCUCACCAAGGCGACGACGGGUAGCCGGCCUGAGAGGGCGACCGGCCACACUGGGACUGAGACACGGCCCAGACUCCUACGGGAGGCAGCAGUGGGGAAUAUUGCACAAUGGGCGAAAGCCUGAUGCAGCGACGCCGCGUGAGGGAUGACGGCCUUCGGGUUGUAAACCUCUUUCAGCAGGGAAGAAGCGAAAGUGACGGUACCUGCAGAAGAAGCACCGGCUAACUACGUG